GACAGAGGGGGCAAGCGUUGCUCGGAAUCACUGGGCGUAAAGGGCGCGUAGGCGGGAUGGCAAGUCAGUCGUGAAAUCCCUGGGCUCAACUCAGGGGGGUCGGCUGAUACUGCCGUUCUUGAGGGAUGCAGAGGAGACUGGAAUUCCCGGUGUAGUGGUGAAAUGCGUAGAGAUCCGGAGGAACACCAGUGGCGAAAGCGGCCACCUGGACUGUACCUGACGCUCAAACACGAAAGCUAGGGGAGCGAACGGG
rnacentral:rRNA from 1 species